rnacentral:tRNA from 1 species
GGGGAUUUAGCUUAGUGGCGUAAGCACUUGCCUGGCAAGUGCAAGAUUAUGAGUUCAAUCCCCA